AGCGGACGCUGGCGGCAGGCCUAACACAUGCAAGUCGAACGAACCUUUCGGGGUUAGUAGCGGACGGGUGAGUAACACGUGGGAACGUGCCUUUAGGUUCGGAAUAACUCAGGGAAACUUGUGCUAAUACCGAAUGUGCCCUUCGGGGGAAAGAUUUAUCGCCUUUAGAGCGGCCCGCGUCUGAUUAGCUAGUUGGUUGAGGUAAUGGCUCACCAAGGCGACGAUCAGUAGCUGGUCUGAGGGGAUGAUCAGCCACAUUGGGACUGAGACACGGCCCAAACUCCUACGGGAGGCAGCAGUGGGGAAUCUUGCGCAAUGGGCGAAAGCCUGACGCAGCCAUGCCGCGUGAAUGAUGAAGGUCUUAGGAUUGUAAAAUUCUUUCACCGGGGACGAUAAUGACGGUACCCGGAGAAGAAGCCCCGGCGAACUUCGU
rnacentral:rRNA from 1 species